rnacentral:lncRNA from 1 species
UUUCCCGCCUAAAUCAAGUCUUCCAUAAGUCUUCCAGGAGUCUUCCAUAAGUCUUUCAGGAGUCUUCCAGAAGUUUUCAAGAGAAAGUCUUCUCAUGUAUUAGAUCUUAAUAAUAAUUUAAUUUUUUUAUAAAAAAAUAUUUUCAUGGGUUAAAAUUUGAAAUCAUGUAAUAAUAAACAUUUUUCAAUGAUGUAAAUUUAGUUUAUCAGAAAUUGAAUUAUUUUCAACAUAGAUGAGUGAAUGUAGAUUGGUUCAUGAGUCAUUAGUUUAGGGUUUAGUAACAUAUGUUAUAGUAUUGUUGAUAUCUUUAGGGUUAGAUUUGAAAUCUUAUCUUCAUUUUUUUCCGUUUUCAAAUUGACCUAUAUAUGUUUAGUAACUAUCUAAUAAUUUGAGUUAAACACUUUCUAAGUUUUUUUAAGUUUAAAAAGGUUUCUUUGCAUAGUUAUUUGAAUUUAGGGUCUAGAAGACUCACAGAAAAGAUAAAAAGAAGUCUUCUGACACCUCACGCCUAAAUUUAAGUUAAAUUAAGGGUUCCCGCCUAAAUUUUGGAAUAAUUUAGACUUCCCACCU